rnacentral:rRNA from 1 species
CCUACGGGAGGCUGCAGUGAGGAAUAUUGGUCAAUGGGCGGGAGCCUGAACCAGCCAAGUCGCGUGAGGGAAGACGGUCCUAUGGAUUGUAAACCUCUUUAGGCGGGGAGCAAUGCCGGGCACGUGUGCCCGGAGGGAGAGUACCCGCAGAAUAAGCAUCGGCUUACUCCGUGCCAGCAGCCGCGGUAAUACGGAGGAUGCGAGCGUUAUCCGGAUUUAUUGGGUUUAAAGGGUGCGUAGGCGGAGUUUUAAGUCAGCGGUAAAAUGUCCGGGCUAAACCCGGGCGGGCCGUUGAAACUGGGGAGCUUGAGUGGGCGAGAAGUAUGCGGAAUGCGUGGUGUAGCGGUGAAAUGCAUAGAUAUCACGCAGAACUCCGAUUGCGAAGGCAGCAUACCGGCGCCCGACUGACGCUGAGGCACGAAAGCGUGGGGAUCGAACAGGAUUAGAUACCCGGGUAGUC